ACGGAAGGCAGCAGUGGGGGAUAUUGGACAAUGGGGGAAACCCUGAUCCAGCGACGCCGCGUGAGUGAAGAAGUAUUUCGGUAUGUAAAGCUCUAUCAGCAGGGAAGAAAAAAUCAAAAUUGACAGUACCUGACUAAGAAGCCCCGGCUAACUACGUGCCAGCAGCCGCGGUAAUACGUAGGGGGCAAGCGUUAUCCGGAUUUACUGGGUGUAAAGGGAGUGUAGGUGGUUUGGCAAGCCAGAUGUGAAAACCCGGGGCUCAACCCCGCGGACUGCAUUUGGAACUGUUAAACUCGAGUGCAGGAGAGGAAAGUGGAAUUCCUAGUGUAGCGGUGAAAUGCGUAGAUAUUAGGAGGAACACCAGUGGCGAAGGCGGCUUUCUGGACUGUAACUGACACUGAGGCUCGAAAGCGUGGGGAGCAAACAGGAUUAGAUACCCUGGUA
rnacentral:rRNA from 1 species